UGUCAGAGUUCUGCUCUUCAUCUUCAUCUUCUUCAUCUUCUUCAUCUUCAGACUUUGUGAAGUUCAGAUUUUAUAUUUCUACAUUUUUGGACCUUCGUACCUGAAACUUUCUCCACCAACUCUUCGAUCAACAUGAAGAUCUCUAUCUUUGCUGGUGUUCUGCUGAUCUCUGCUGCUCUGAUCUCUGUGGACGGACAAACCUGG